UGAGGAAUUUUGCGCAAUGGGAGCAAUCCUGACGCAGCAACGCCGCGUGGGUGAUGAAGGCCUUCGGGUCGUAAAGCCCUGUCAGGUGGGAAGAAUGUCCCGGGACUGAACAGGUUCCGGGAGUGACGGUACAACCAGAGGAAGCACCGGCUAACUCCGUGCCAGCAGCCGCGGUAAUACGGAGGGUGCAAGCGUUAUUUGGAAUUACUGGGCGUAAAGCGCGUGUAGGCGGUCCUGCAAGUCUGAUGUGAAAGCCCCGGGCUUAACCCGGGAAGUGCAUUGGAAACUGUGGGACUUGAGUACUGGUGAGGAUGGGUGAAUUCCCGGUGUAGAGGUGAAAUUCGUAGAUAUCGGGAGGAAUAUCAGUGGCGAAGGCGCCCAUCUGGACGGUAACUGACGCUGAGACGCGAAAGCGUGGGGAGCAAACA
rnacentral:rRNA from 1 species